AGUACAUUAGGUAUUAAGUCGAAAUACUAAUACCAAGUUUGUAUGACCUUCGGGUAAAUAACAGGUGUGAGACCUAGGUUAUGUUUUGAAACGGUAAAGAAGUGCACGGUGUUUACUAGACAGUGGCUAGAUUGGGACACAUUCUAAGGCAGCACACAAUUGAACCUGAUAAUUUAUAUUGUAUUCAAAUUAAAACAAGUAAUUGAAAUACAUUAGACAAUGGCUAAUCAGGAGGCAGAGAAGGUGUUGAAAACAUUGAAAUCAGCAUUAGAGACCAAUGGAGGAAAAGAGGGAAAAAAUUGGAGAAAGAAAGGAGAAAAUUAUACAGACAUUGGAUAGAAGAGGGCAGUAUUGCUGUGCCCAACGGGCUCCCAGACGAAGGGGAGCCUGGUAGAAUGCUGGAAGCGCUGAAGCGUAAAACAUACAAAACCUGUUCCGAGUGGAAACAGGGAGGAGAGCCGAGUAAGGGUCAAAUCAAGGAAGACAUGGAGAAGGCUAAAUUGAAGGAACGCAUAGGACUGGCUAUGCUGGAAAAACUCAAGAAAAUGAAAACCCACGUAUGAAAACCCACCAAAACCACAGGGAGGUAGACUAUACCCGGAACUCCCUAAAGCGCCACCACCCUAUGAUAGUCCACGAAUAAUGGCACCUGUACUGGAUCGCUCAGCCACAGUAAACUACCACAAAAGACCAGAUGAGGGCAGCAAAGAAAUACAGGCUCUGGUGGAAGCUGCCAGAGAGCUGAGCAGAGGAGUGGCUGAACUAAGUAAAGUACAGAUGGAAGGAGGAAAUAUGAGCAUAGACAGCAGGAGUGAAAGUGGAUCCUCGGAAUCAGAUGGACUGAAACAAGCCUGACAAAUACCCAAGAGGAAGAAGAGGAGCGGAGGAGAGUAUGGAAUGAACUCCAAGACAAACUCAGAAAGGAGGAGGGAGCAGUGAAAAUACUGGAACGGACCCUGAAAGACAUGGAACGGAUUGAAAUAAGGUGUAAGGAACAGACUAAGCUGAAUCAAUGCACACCGACAUCAGGGCCAGGUGUACAUUUCAUCAGGCUGGGUACGCACAGCCAAGGAACAGAGGAAUAUGAAAAUGGUGAAGACACACCCCGGGUUGGGCCCCCACAGUGUGAGCUUGACCAAAGAUUCAUCUGUGGCGUAUUUGAGGGGGGCCUAUGGGAUCAACAGUCCGCUCCCGCACACCACACCAGGAGUAAGACCAAACAGGGUGGUGCUAACAUGAUGCCACUAAUACAACUACCUGGUGGACAAACCGUAUACAAACAUUGGGCUCACAGGGACUUGCAGACUCUAGUAGAAGCCCUGCCGCUACCAGAAGAGUCUGAAUGUAGGUGGGUGAAGGCCUUUGAGAGCCUGACUGCAGCGGAUGAACUGACAGUAUGAGACAUGGUGGCUGUCAUGAAUAGAUGCAUGGGGGACCAGGAAUGUUGUGAACUCAUGAAUGAUGCAGGGAUGAGAGGGAUGUUUGCCAUAAAGACUCCAUUUGAUCAAUACUGCAAUGGGAUGUGGACUGCCAUCAGGAGGAAAUACCCCACUCAACCCAGACCCUAGAAGAGGAUGAAACUGUG
ensembl:lncRNA